rnacentral:rRNA from 1 species
AGUGAACGCUGGCGGCAGGCCUAAUACAUGCAAGUCGAACGGCAGCACAGUAAGAGCUUGCUCUUACGGGUGGCGAGUGGCGGACGGGUGAGGAAUACAUCGGAAUCUACUUUUUCGUGGGGGAUAACGUAGGGACACUGACGAUACUACCGCAUACGUCCUACGGGUGAAAUCAAUGGAUAUUCGGACCUUUCGCGUCUCAAUGAGCUGAUGUCGGAUUAGCUAGGUGGCGGGGUAAAGGCCCACCAAGGCGACGAUCCGUAGCUGGUCUGAGAGGAUGAUCAGCCACACUGGAACUGAGACACGGUCCAGACUCCUACGGGAGGCAGCAGUGGGGAAUAUUGGACAAUGGGCGCAAGCCUGAUCCAGCCAUACCGCGUGGGUGAAGAAGGCCUUCGGGUUGUAAAGCCCUUUUGUUGGGAAAGAAAAGCAGCAGGUUAAUACCCCGCUGUUCUGACGGUACCCAAAGAAUAAGCACCGGCUAACUUCGUG